UGGUGGAGUGAUUUGUCUGGUUAAUUCCGUUAACGAACGAGACCUCGACCUGCUAAAUAGUUCGGGGUUAGUUUACUAACCUACGCGACUUCUUAGAGGGACUGUCGGUUUGUAGCCGAAGGAAGUUCGAGGCAAUAACA
rnacentral:rRNA from 1 species